rnacentral:rRNA from 1 species
UGGGGAAUUUUGGACAAUGGGCGCAAGCCUGAUCCAGCCAUGCCGCGUGCGGGAAGAAGGCCUUCGGGUUGUAAACCGCUUUUGUCAGGGAAGAAAUCUUCUGAGUUAAUACCUCGGGAGGAUGACGGUACCUGAAGAAUAAGCACCGGCUAACUACGUGCCAGCAGCCGCGGUAAUACGUAGGGUGCAAGCGUUAAUCGGAAUUACUGGGCGUAAAGCGUGCGCAGGCGGUUUUGUAAGACAGAGGUGAAAUCCCCGGGCUCAACCUGGGAACUGCCUUUGUGACUGCAAGGCUUGAGUGCGGCAGAGGGGGAUGGAAUUCCGCGUGUAGCAGUGAAAUGCGUAGAUAUGCGGAGGAACACCGAUGGCGAAGGCAAUCCCCUGGGCCUGCACUGACGCUCAUGCACGAAAGCGUGGGGAGCAAACAGGAUUAGAUACCCUGGUAGUCCACGCCCUAAACGAUGUCAACUGGUUGUUGGGAAGGUUCCUUCUCAGUAACGUAGCUAACGCGUGAAGUUGACCGCCUGGGGAGUACGGCCGCAAGGUUGAAACUUAAAGGAAUUGACGGGGUCAUAGCUG